GUGAACUUCUUUGUACUUGAGAAUGAGACGAGAUAAACCUGUAACGAGGCCAUCCAAAUUAAGGGCAAGUUGAGUCAAGAGCUGAAUGAGAAAACUGAUGUCCUUAGACCGAAAAGAAUUUGAAAAUGUUUGCCCAAAGUGAAGGCAGUAGAAGCAGCUGUCAAAAUAUGAAGUAGGGUGUCAGGUGUUGCACUUUAGCGAAAUGAGCAGAGAGGGCAUGAACUGGAGCAGACCCAGGCGAACUUAGGGAAGGACGCUUCCAGCGUCUGUGUUGCCAUUCAUAUGUCUGAGCACGUGGGGUUAGCUGGCCGUGGUCAAAGGCUGCUGUUGGAUAGCCGUGAAAUCUAUGCCUCCAGAACUGUAUGUACACUGUUCUUUUACACAGAUGUCCACUGUGACAGGGUUUGGGGAAAAGGACAGCAUGCAAACCAGAGGACCUAGAAGGAUGAUAACUGUUCACCUUACAUCACUCAGUAAAGACGAAAACACCUUUUGGCCCAGCAGUCAGAACAAAGGAAAUUCUUUACUUGAGAAUGAAAGUGAGCCAGUAAUUGUAAGUACUGCAUGCUUUCCUUUUUCAGCAUAAUAUUUUCUACAUAUUAAUUUGAAAAUAAAGAGCUUAUAUUUCAGUAAUGUUAACUCAGAACAGAGUUGGAAACAUAAUAUGCAACAGUAUAGAAAAAUUUUAAAGCAUGUAAAAAAAAAUCCCUCCCCCCAACACACAACAAUAGAGCUAGAUGAUUGUAUAUGAUGACAUCAUUGCAAGAUGAACUGUGGAUUGGUGCCAAGGGGACCAUAAAUACUUAAGGUACGUUUCUGAUUUACUGUCAAGAGUGAAGCUUUACAGAGGUAAGUCAGUGUGUAGCUCUUUAUUGUUAUGUAACAAAACUAUCCUCUAACCCUUGACUUAGUGGCUUUAAGCCACCAUUUAUGUACCUGUUAUGUUGUGAGUCAGCAAUUUGGAGAGGCCUUGUCUGGGAGCUUAUUUUCUGGUCCACAUGGUACCUGCUAGUACAGCUAGGGGUGGAGGAUCUGCUUCUACAUUGGUUUCUUUGCCUCUUCUAGGAUCAGACACAAUUAGUUAGAAAAAUUAAAAGUCUACAUAAAUUUGACUUUGUGAGCAGUGAUGACCAGUUGUAAAUAAAUACCUGCAUAUAGAAAUAUAUGUUUUUGCAAUAAUAAUAAAUUAUGAAUUAAUAUAUUUUAUCUCAGGAAUAUAAUAAGGGUUAGCACAAAAACCUUUAUUAUUACUUACUUUUUGAAGUAUAGUCGAUUUACAAUGUUGUGUAAAUUUCAGGUGUACAGCAC
rnacentral:lncRNA from 1 species